GGAAGUAAAAGUCGUAGCAAGGUCUCCGUUGGUGAACCAGCGGAGGGAUCAUUACCGAGUGCAAACUCACAACCCUUUGUGAACCUAUAUCUGUUGCUUCGGCGGCUCGCUCUCGGGCGAGCCCGCCGGUAAUAUCAGUAUCUCUGUUUGAACCCGACGAUACUUCUGAGUGUUCUUAGCGAACAGUUAAAACUUUUAACAACGGAUCUCUUGGCUCUA
rnacentral:misc_RNA from 1 species